CCUACGGGUGGCUGCAGUGGGGAAUAUUGGACAAUGGGCGAAAGCCUGAUCCAGCCAUGCCGCGUGUGUGAAGAAGGCCUUCGGGUUGUAAAGCACUUUCAGUGGGGAAGAAAGCCUUGGGGCUAAUACCCUCGAGGAAGGACAUCACCCACAGAAGAAGCACCGGCUAACUCCGUGCCAGCAGCCGCGGUAAUACGGAGGGUGCGAGCGUUAAUCGGAAUUACUGGGCGUAAAGCGCGCGUAGGCGGUCUGAUAAGCCGGUUGUGAAAGCCCCGGGCUCAACCUGGGAACGGCAUCCGGAACUGUCAGGCUAGAGGGCAGGAGAGGAAGGUAGAAUUCCCGGUGGAGCGGUGAAAUGCGUAGAGAUCGGGAGGAAUACCAGUGGCGAAGGCGGCCUUAUGGACUGACACUGACGCUGAGGUGCGAAAGCGUGGGUAGCAAACAGGAUUAGAUACCCCUGUAGUC
rnacentral:rRNA from 1 species